CCUACGGGAGGCAGCAGUGGGGAAUAUUGGACAAUGGGGGGAACCCUGAUCCAGCCAUGCCGCGUGUGUGAAGAAGGCCUUAUGGUUGUAAAGCACUUUAAGCGAGGAGGAGGCUACUGAGACUAAUACUCUUGGAUAGUGGACGUUACUCGCAGAAUAAGCACCGGCUAACUCUGUGCCAGCAGCCGCGGUAAUACAGAGGGUGCGAGCGUUAAUCGGAUUUACUGGGCGUAAAGCGUGCGUAGGCGGCUUUUUAAGUCGGAUGUGAAAUCCCCGAGCUUAACUUGGGAAUUGCAUUCGAUACUGGGAAGCUAGAGUAUGGGAGAGGAUGGUAGAAUUCCAGGUGUAGCGGUGAAAUGCGUAGAGAUCUGGAGGAAUACCGAUGGCGAAGGCAGCCAUCUGGCCUAAUACUGACGCUGAGGUACGAAAGCAUGGGGAGCAAACAGGAUUAGAUACCCUGGUAGUCCAUGCCGUAAACGAUGUCUACUAGCCGUUGGGGCCUUUGAGGCUUUAGUGGCGCAGCUAACGCGAUAAGUAGACCGCCUGGGGAGUACGGUCGCAAGACUAAAACUCAAAUGAAUUGACGG
rnacentral:rRNA from 1 species